rnacentral:rRNA from 1 species
GGGACACGUGGUAUCCUGUCUGAAUAUGGGGGGACCAUCCUCCAAGGCUAAAUACUCCUGACUGACCGAUAGUGAACCAGUACCGUGAGGGAAAGGCGAAAAGAACCCCGGCGAGGGGAGUGAAAAAGAACCUGAAACCGUGUACGUACAAGCAGUGGGAGCCUACUUGUUAGGUGACUGCGUACCUUUUGUAUAAUGGGUCAGCGACUUAUAUUCUGUAGCAAGGUUAACCGUAUAGGGGAGCCGAAGGGAAACCGAGUCUUAACUGGGCGUUAAGUUGCAGGGUAUAGACCCGAAACCCGGUGAUCUAGCCAUGGGCAGGUUGAAGGUUGGGUAACACUAACUGGAGGACCGAACCGACUAAUGUUGAAAAAUUAGCGGAUGACCUGUGGCUGGGGGUGAAAGGCCAAUCAAACCGGGAGAUAGCUGGUUCUCCCCGAAAGCU